rnacentral:rRNA from 1 species
UUAUUGGGCGUAAAGAGCUCGUAAGCGGUUUGUCGCGUCUGUCGUGAAAGUCCCGGGGCUUAACCCCGGAUCUGCGGUGGGUACGGGCAGACUAGAGUGCAGUAGGGGAGACUGGAAUUCCUGGUGUAGCGGUGGAAUGCGCAGAUAUCAGGAGGAACACCGAUGGCGAAGGCAGGUCUCUGGGCUGUAACUGACGCUGAGGAGCGAAAGCAUGGGGAGCGAACAGGAUUAGAUACCCUGGUAGUCCAUGCCGUAAACGUUGGGCACUAGGUGUGGGGACCAUUCCACGGUUUCCGCGCCGCAGCUAACGCAUUAAGUGCCCCGCCUGGGGAGUACGGCCGCAAGGCUAAAACUCAAAGGAAUUGACGGGGGCCCGCACAAGCGGCGGAGCAUGCGGAUUAAUUCGAUGCAACGCGAAGAACCUUACCAAGGCUUGACAUGUUCUCGAUCGCCGUAGAGAUACGGUUUCCCCUUUGGGGCGGGUUCACAGGUGGUGCAUGGUUGUCGUCAGCUCGUGUCGUGAGAUGUUGGGUUAAGUCCCGCAACGAGCGCAACCCUCGUUCCAUGUUGCCAGCACGUCGUGGUGGGGACUCAUGGGAGACUGCCGGGGUCAACUCGGAGGAAGGUGAGGACGACGUCAAAUCAUCAUGCCCCUUAUGUCUUGGGCUUCACGCAUGCUACAAUGGCCGGUACAAUGGGUUGCGAUACUGUGAGGUGGAGCUAAUCCCAAAAAGCCGGUCUCAGUUCGGAUUGGGGUCUGCAACUCGACCCCAUGAAGUCGGAGUCGCUAGUAAUCGCAGAUCAGCAACGCUGCGGUGAAUACGUUCCCGGGCCUUGUACACACCGCCCGUCAAGUCACGAAAGUUGGUAACACCCGAAGCC